UAGCCUAACGGCUGAACCAGCAACUUGGAGGAAUGGAUAGCGAAAGCUAAUUGUACUAAUGGUACAAUAACGAUUUAAUCGUAUAAAAUUCUGGGUAGAAUUAUGAUAAUGACAUUGUUUACCUAUAUAUCUUGACCAAAUUACGUGCCAGCAGUCGCGGUAAUACGUAGAAGAUUAGUGUUAUUCAUCUUUAAUAGGUUUAAAGGGUACCUAGACAGCAAAUCAAGCCUUCAAAAGGGACUAGUUUGCUAGAGUUACUUGUGAGGGGGCAUAAAAGUACUAUCGGUGUAGAGAUAAAAUUCGUUGAUACCCCUUUUCGUAUGAAAAUUAAUGGCACAGAUUUAGGCAAAAGCAUCCCCUUAUGUGAUAGCUUUGUGUAGCGAACAGGAUUAGAUACCCCAAUAGUCGAAGCAGAAAAUGAUGAGUGUCAUAGAUUAGAUUUAAGUUUAUUCUAUAAAUGAAAGUGUAAGCACUCCACCUCAAGAGUAAUUUGGCAACAUUGGAACUGAAAUCAUUAGACCGUUUCUGAAACCAGUAGUGAAGUAUGUUGUUUAAUUAGAUAACACGCAAAAAACCUUACCACAAUUUGAAUAUUUACAAGCGUUGCAUGGUUGUCUUCAGUUAAUGUCGUGAGACUAUGGUUAGUUCCAUUAAUUAACGUAAACCCUUGCUUUAUUUUUAUAUAAGGUUGUCCCCCGCUACAUU
rnacentral:rRNA from 1 species